UCCUGGGUAGCGAUCGUCUAAGAAUUGUUUUCACAUAUACGCUGAAAGUGAUCGCGUACGUAUAAAGUGGAAAAAUGAAAUAACCAGAAAAAUUCAUAGAAACCACCUUCACUUCUGUCCUGUAACCUCAAAAUAUCUUGAAGAGUGGAUUGUCAAAAUCGCAAUAUGAAUGUCACAUACAAGCAGCGGGAGAUUCUGCUGCAUUUUUUAAAACAGCAUCCGGAAAUAAUAAGAGGUCGAGUUUCAAGAAAGUCUGAAAGCAGGAAAGAAUUGAAGAC